GCCGUCGUUGGCCAGUGGCAGGCCCCUCCCGUUAUCUGCUGAAUAAUGGAAAAAUGCUUAUGGGAGUUACGGAGGUUCAAUUCCUCCCGUCGGCA